CUUGCCUGGAAAUUAUAGACCUGUGAGCUUAACCUUUUUGGCUGGAAAAUUAUUUGAAAGGUUAUUAAGGGAUAAUACUCAAGAAUCCCUCGAAAAGAAUGUGGUUAUCAGCAAAAAUCAGCAUGGUUUUAUGAAGCACAGGUCAUGUCAAACUAACUUGAUUGCAUUCUACGAAGAAGUAAGUAGAAGUAUAGAUCAGGGUGUUGCAAAAUCCAAAUAGGUUAUGGUGGGGAAAACCCCUUCCACCUGAAGUCUGUGCUUCCCAAGCACUACCAGGCCUUAAUAAGAAAACCAGUAACCAACCUCAUGCUGAUGAUUUGCAUUAACAAUGAAACAGCUGUCCAUGAGUGGUUUACUGGCUUUGCAUCUUUUCCUAGGUUGUGUUUCAAAGCUGUUGUAUACAGCAAACACAGACACAAAGGAAUCCAUUUUUAAAAUGGAAUGAGGCAAAAAUGUGAUUCUUUGUUAAACUAAUUUGCAUAUGCCCAUCCAGACUCCUUUGCGGUAGUAACAUCACUGCAGAUUUGUAAUUUAUGUGGGAAAAGCAAGUCUUAUGGCUUGACUGGUGUACAAACUGUUAUUUAACUUUGUAUUAAAUAUUAUAUAUAUAUAUAUUUUUUUUUAUUUUUUUUAUACACACACAGACACAUUCUACAUAUAUAUUUAACUAAUAAUUACAUAAUUAUUUGAAUUUGAUUUUAUUAAUUACAAUUUGAGGAACCUGCCUGACAACCCAGACAGACAAUCCAGAGAAUUUAAUUGGUAAGCCCUACAUUUAACCCUAUUUAACAAAUAUGAACACUAACUUUGGCCAGCGUUUGUGACUAAGUGGCUACUACAAAAGACUGGAAAUACCCAAUUUUAAAUACCCUGGGUUGUCUACAUUCGAAAAUGUUAUUUCAUGAUGGGGUUAAUUCAUAUUCCUGGUCUGCCAUAUGGUCUCAAAAGGCAACAAAGACCCAGCAAACCAAUCUGGCAAACUGAAUAGGGCAAACCCUACAUUGACCCUGUAACUUUCCAAAACCCCAUAAAACCUGUAAAUGGGGGGUAUUGUUAUAGUCGGGAGACUUUGCUGAACAUAAAUAUGAGUGUUUAAAACAGUAAAACUUAUCACAAUGUUAAAAUCACUAGUAAAAGUGCAGGUUUAGUGUAAAAAAAUGCAAAAACAAAUAUGAAUGCUAAAUUUGGCAAGCGUUUGUGGCUACUACAAAAGACUGGACAUACCCCAUUUUGAAUACCUUGGGUUGUCUACUUUUUUCAAAUGGUAUAGCAUAGUGGGGUUAAUUUUCAUUUCUGGGCUGCCAUACUGUCUCAAAGGCAACAUAGCCAAUCUGGAAAAUAGCAAUUUACAAAAAGAAUUUGGCAAAAUGUUAUAUUUACCCUGUAACUUUCCAAAUCACCAUAAAACCUGUACUUGAGGGUACUGUUGUACUCAUGAGACAUUACUCUACACAAAUGUGAGUGUUUUAGAGCAGUUAAAUGUAUUAUUCUGCUAAUAUCAUCUAUGAAAUGGCAGUUUAUGUGUGAAAAAUGCAAAAAAAAAAUAUAUGAACACUAAUUUUGCCCAGGGUUUUUUUGACUAAGUGGCUACUAAAAAGACUGUACAUACCCCAGUUUGAAUACUGUGGGUUGUCUACUUUUACAAAUGGUAUGCCAUGAUGGGGUUAAUUUUCAUUCCUGGGCUGCCAUACGGUCUCAAAGGCAACAUAGCCAAUCUGGAAAAUAGCAAUUUACAAAAAGAAUUUGGCAAAAUGUUAUAUUUACCCUGUAACUUUCCAAAUCACCAUAAAACCUGUACUUGAGGGGUAGUGUUGUACUCGUGAGACAUUACUCUACACAAAUAUGAGUGUUUUAGAGCAGUAAAAUGUAUUAUACUGCUAAUAUCAUCUAUGAAAUGGCAGUUUAUGUGUGAAAAAUGCCAAAAAAAAUAUAUGAACACUAAUUUUGCCCAGGGUUUGUGACUAAGUGGCUACUAAAAAGACUGUACAUACCCCAGUUUGAAUACUGUGGGUUGUCUACUUUUACAAAUGGUAUGCCAUGAUGGGGUUAAUUUUCAUUCCUGGGCUGCCAUACAGUCUCAAAAGCAACAUAGGCUCAGCAAACCAAUCUGGCAAAUUUCAAUGUGCAAACAUGGAAAAGGGGAAAGUCCUGCAUGUGACCCCUGUAAAUUUGCAAAAACCCAUAAAACCUGUACAUGGAGGGCACUAUUGUACCCAGGAGAUGUUGCCAAACACAUAUUAGUGUGUUUUUGUCAGUAACACAUAACAGGAACUGAAAAACCAUGCCUAAAGUACAAUGUGAGAGAACAAUAACACAGAAAAUGACUACACAAAAGUUUGACUGGUAGAAGAAUUAGUGCAUGGAAAGUGUUAAAAUACCACCAUUUGAAAUACCCUAAGGUAAAUUACAAAAAUGUCCCACAUAGUACAUGGUGCAUAAUGACCAGCUGUGAAAAUUUCAAGUUGGAAAACUGGAAUGCGCAUCUCCAAAUAAAGUAUUUUAGCCCCCAGAGAUCCCGACACACCUAUUACUUAUUUUUUUUAAAUUUAGCAUAAAUUGUUGGUAAAAUGGUUGCAUGAAAAGAGUCAAAUUACCCCAAGUUUAAUACCUUUGGUUGUCUUUUAAAAAUAUAUAUACAUAAGAAGGGAUAUUCAGAGAUUCCUAAAAUAUAUCAGUGUUACAAUGUAACUUUCAUUAAUUUUGACAAAAAAAUUGUUUGGAAAUACCAAAGUGCUACUUGUACAUCUUGCCCUAUAACUUUCCAAAAAAAGCUAAGAACAUGUUAACAUUAGGUAUUUCAAAACUCAGGACAAAAUUUAGAAACUAUUUAGUAUGGGUGUUUUUUGACGGUUGUAAAUGCGUAACAGAUUUUGGGGGUCAAAAAUAGAAAAAGUGUGUUUUUUUAAAAUGUUUUCAUCAUAUUUUAGAAUUUGUUUUAUAGUAAAUUAUAUGAUAUGAUGAAAAUAAUAGUAUCUUUAGAAAGACCAUUUAAUGGUGAGCCAAACGGUAUAUAAUAUGUGUGGGUAAAGUAAAUGAGUAAGAGGCAAAUUACAGUUAAACCCAAACACCGCAGAAAUGUAAAAACAGCCCUGGUACUGAACGGUAAAACAUUUUUUAAACGAUCUGGUCACUAAGGUGUUAAAGACAUAUCACUGUGAGUAUGGUAUUCGGUUAGCUCUAUUAUAAAAUCAAAAACAUCAAAAUGUUUGAGCUCCUAGAAUAGACUGAGAAAUUUAGACCCACAAUAGGGAGUAUCUCUCCUACACAGGGUCACUUGGGACAAGGACACUUGGGAGUCAUGCAUACUAGAUUUUAUUAGCAUCUAACUGAAGGUGAACUAGGAAGUGCCUAAAUUAUUGAUGAUGUGUCUUGAGGACUUGACUGGUCUUGUGAAUGUCUAUCAUUGAUGCUGCAGAUACUUGUGGACAAGGCCGGCGCAUCCUAUAGGCCGAAUAGGCGGUCGCCUAGGGCACUGCUUAUGGGGGGUACCGGCAGCAGCUUUCCUGCUGUUUAGGCCGCCCCUCUAUGUGCGACUAAUUAUGGAUAUUGUGUGCCACUGGUUGAUGGCACCUGGCGCUAGGGAACACUUAUAUAGCUGCAGAUUAACGCCUGGUGCUAUCAACCUCCACACGCAAAAACAGAGAGCCACCCCCCACCCCACCCCACCCUAAUUUGCCAGCACCCAUGGACACAUAUUGCGAUCUCUCCCGCCCCUUUCCCGGUACACAGUGUCAAGUGGGCGGGAUAUUAGCGAUGGCGGGACUGAGAGAAACUCAAGUUAGCCAGGCACAAUCCAGAAGCCUGCAACCCACGGAUAGACAAUGUGAAAUUAAGGCAAGAGGGGGACUUAAUAGUGUGUAUCUGUGUGUAUGUGUGCUUUAAAGAGUGUGUUAGCCUGCUUCAGUUAAUAUGUGCGUGUCUGCUUGAGUUAGUGUGUGCAUGUGUGUGUCUGCUUUGAUCAGUGUGUGUGCUUGGGUUAUUGUGUGUGUGUAUGUAUACUUGGGUUAGUGUGCAUGUGUCUGCUUGAGUCAGUGUGUGUUUGCUUGGGUCAGUGUGUGUGUCUGCUUGAGUCAGUGUGUGUGUGUCUGCUUUACUCAGUGUGUGUGCUUGGAUCAGUGUGUGUGUGUCUGCAUCAUUGUGUGUGUGUGUCUGAGUCAGUGUCUGUGUCUGCUUGAGUCAGUGUGUGUUUCCUUGGGUCAGUGUGUUUACUUUGAUCAGUGUAUGGGCAUGGUUCAGUGUGUACAUAUGUGUGUCUGGAUCAAUGUGUGUGUGUCUGCUUGGAUUAAUGUGUGUCUGCUUGAGUCAAUGUGUGUUUGCUUGAGUCAGUUUGUGUGUCUGCUUGAGUCAGUGUGUGCUUGGGUCAUUGAGCGUGUGUAUGUCUGGUUGGGUCAGUGUGUGUGUGUGUGUCUGCUUGGGUUAGUGUGUGUGUCUGCUUGAGUGGAUGUGUGUGUGUGUGUGCUUUGCUCAGUGUGUGUGCUUGUGUCAGUGUGUGUGUGACUGCAUCAGUGUGUGUGUGUCUGGAUCAGUGUGCGUGUCUGCUUGAGUGUGUGUGUGUGUGUGUCUGCUUGGGUUAGUGUGUGUGUCUGCUUGAGUUAAUGUGUGUGUGUGUCUACUUUGAUUAUUGUUUGGGCAUGGGUCAGUGUGUGCGAGUGUGUCUGUGGAGCGAAUGGGGCAGCAAAAUUCCUUGCACUGGCCUUGCUUGUGGACUACAAUUUCCACGAUUCUCAACAUCUUUACAUCUUAAGUUCAUAAGAACCUAAUAAACAUAUGCAGUGCUGACUCACACAAGGUAAGUUCACACAAGCAUAGUGUUCUGUGACACACUUAAAUAAUAUAUGUAAACAUUCCAGAUGCUACAAAUUAAGCAUAUGUGUCUGUAACUAAAUGUCAGAAUCAGGAGGAAUGAGACUUGUAAAUUGCAAAAUUGAUUUAUUAUCACUUUUAAAAUAAGGAAAUUCAAUUAGAAAAUGGAAAUGUUUGCACCAAUGUUGAAACGAAGCGUGCUAGAAAGGAUGUAUAAUGUGAAGGCAAUAGUAGUCCCUAGUUGUGAUAACUGGGAGAGUGGAUGCAGCAUAUUCCAAGUGGGACAUGUGAGAUCUCUGUCCAGAAGGGUGAAUUUCUAGGAAUUGCAGAGCCCUAUAACUUCCAGGCCUCUGGUACUGAGAAUACACAAAAAAUGAGGAAGUAUAUAAUAACCUUAGAAGUUACAUAGCUAUGUAUCAUAGCACAAAAUCUAAAUUGAAUACAUCAACAUUAUUUAAAGGUAUUUAAUAAUGUGAGAAUUCAAAGUGAAUAAUUUCAAAUUUAAGGCAAAAAUUGUUAAACUAUAAGAACAGCUGACUUGGAGAAUUUUUUACUAGUUUGGCAAUUUUAUCCCUAAAUUGUAAAAUUAUAUUGAAUUCAUUUUGAAUUUCCUAAAAUUUUUUAACCUUGUUAUUAACCCUAAUUGUACACACUGUUACUAUAUCUUGUUAUUGCCUAUCACAGGGGAAGUAAACAUGCAGGUAUUAGUUUUAUGCUCAAGGUAAGCCGUGACUAAUCUGUGCCUGCUCAGUAUCUAUGUAAGCAGACGUUGUUGGUCAGAUUGUAAAAAAUAGAAACAUGGUUGGAAUCCAGACGAUAAUUAGUAGCCACUAAUAAGGAUGUGCAUGAGCAAAAAAUUUGGGUCGGUUCAGCCCUUCCAAAAUGCAGGAAUCCGGCAAUUUGGGACUUCGGCAAUUCGGUACUUCGGCACAUCCGAAAUUCAGGACUUCUGCAAUUCCCUAACCCUACCCCUAUCUCUAACAUUAGCCCUAACCCUAACACUAUCUCUAACUCUACCCCUAACUCUAUCCCUAAACUAAUCCCUAACCCCAACCAUACUAGGGUUAGGAGUAGGGUUAGGGUUGGGGGUAGGGUUAGGGCUGGGGCUAGUGGUAGGGUUAGGGUUAGGAUUAGAUUCCUGUCAUCAUUCCCUUCAUUUUCCCUCCCUCUCCUGUUUUGCCACUUUUCAGAAAUCCAAAGCACUUUGGCACUUCGGUUCGGCACUUCCGAAAUUCAGCAACUCCAAUUUGUUUUGGCACUUCUGAAAUUCGGCCGAAGCAUCCAAAUGUCUGAAUUGCCAAAAUUCAUCUAAAUUUUAAUUUGAACCAAAACAAAUCACACAUGUCUAGCCAAUAAUAAGUAUAGGCUGUUGUGAAUAGAGACAUCUUACAGCAGCCAUUUACUGACAAUGUUUGAACAAACUUGUAGUGUGAAAACAGGAACUUACAUAACAUGCAGUGGUGGAAAUAAAGUAGAGAGUGUAGUAUUGUGUUAUAUGUUUUUUAUGUACUGUUCCCAUUUGAAUGCAGUGGUUUACUUGUGUGCAGUGUUUGCCUCUGGAUGUACAGGUGUGUCUGUAUGUAAUGUUGAUGAUUGAAUGCAGGGGUGUAUUUGUGUGUAGUGUUAGAGUUUGAAAGUAUACACAUAUACAUAUACACUGCCACAAAAGCACUGAUACACAUACACUGACACACAUCCAGAUACACAUACUGACACAGACGUACAAAUAUACAGACACACACUGACACACAUACACAUACACAGACAUACAGAUAACGACACAUACAGAUACACUGACACACUGUCAGGAAUCUUACCUUGAGGAGGAGUCCAACACACAGAGUUAAAGCACCCUUUGCAAUUUGACACAAACCAAGGAGACUGAAGGCAAAAAUCCCCAAGGCUGUGAAACAGUGCACUGGGGCUGAUAAGACACAGUGCUUCCAGAAAUGCAGUACAGGCAAGGAUAAUCCAAGAAGAGUAGUUGUGGUCGAAAUCAACAGUCAGGACAGGCGGCAAACAGGCAGAAACACAAGACAAAUAAAUACACUGACAUACAUAUAGACACACAUGCAAAAUGCACACCUUUUGGAUGCAGGAUGGUGGCUUCCCUGGGGUUUAGUCAGUUGGUUAAGGUUGUUGGAAGUCAGAGGUUCUCCAACUUUGUGUCCCUCCUCACUGACAAUUGUCACUUCCUCUCAGUGCUGAGGAGAUCACAGGAGUACUGCUGUUAAAGGACUGCAGUGCAUGACUGGGCCCCUGAAAACACUUUGCCAUCGAGUGGUCCAUGCAUUUAUAGCCACCCGUUGGCAAAGUGUUUUCAGGGGCACCGGCAGUAGUUCCACUUCUGAUAAUGUGGUAAACCCAGGUGUCACGUUGUAAACAUAGGAAUCCUGAGGUUCACCACUCUUUCCUUUUCAUGAAGUAACUCAUACCAUCCCUUCCUGAAAAUCAUAAACUAGAUUGCAUAAAGACAUGAUUGAAUUAAGCUGUUUGGGGGUAUAGAUCAUGCCCCUGUAGUAUCACUGCUCAAUUACCUGUUGUUUAGACUAGGUUGCUGUAGAUGCAAGAAGGCCAUUAACGGAGCAGGAGACACAUUAUGAAAUAAAUACACUGGGGGUUAUUCACUUAAGUCCGAAUUGCCUCAUACCGAAUGGGGCAAAAUCAUCCAGUUGCAUACGGGGCAAUAAAACUGCAAUAAAAGGAUCAAUAUUUGCUCCGCGAGGGCUUGCCAUAGACAGAGCUAUCAUAGUAGUGAAAUAACUUAUAAAGGCUUUCUCGUGAUAUGUAAGCAAAUAUCUUGUGUUGGGUAAUUUCCUAUGCAAUAUCAGAGUGCUCUGUUUGGUUGGCUUGUAAACUAACCAAUCAUAGCUCUUUGACAGAGAAGUCUCGAGAGAAGUGAGAUUUGAUAGCUUACAUAAUGUUUUGAAUGUCUUCAUAAGGACUUUCUCCGCUAUGAGAGCUCAGUCUACAGCAAGUCCUUAAGGGGUGAAGAUCAAUUAUUUUUAUUGCAUUGCAUUUUUUUUUGCAUUUUUAUGAAUGAGGAUUUUUUUUAUCUUCAUUGGUCGCACCAGGAAUUAUGUAUUUUAAAAUAUUGCCUUUUGGGGGAUGAAGAAUACAAUAGUGAUAAGAAAGAAGAUUUCUGAUGGUAAGUAUAUUUUUUUGUAAUUUAUUUGACAGGUAUUAUUUUUAUUGGCUCACUAUUAUUAUGGUGAAGGGGUUAGGUAGGUGUAACAGGAAGAUCUUCUGAGAGCGUCACUGCAAUUGAAAUCCUUCUCUGUUCCUAUUGCCGUUAGAAUUUUUAAACUAAGUCAUUUGCAUAUAUUUGCAUAUGUGUUUGUAUGCCUCACUUUAAACUGAAAGAUGUAUUGUUGGAGACUAGACCCUGUAGUGAAUAAAGUAUGUUUGAUAUUCUUGUCCUCUUGAACGGGAGUGCUGUCUCUUAUCUGGGAAGGCAUGGUGACAGAGUCUGUGGACCUGUGGACUGAAAGCUUACUUGGGCCUAUGAGCCAAAACUGUCUUUAUAAAUAUAUUGUCAAGAGCACUCAGAGGAAUUGAUUUUGUCACAUAAGAAGAAGUAAUCAGAAGAGGUGAUAUCUGCCUGUUUACUGAGAUGAGGACAACAUCUUACUCUGAAGAAUCAUGGUGGUCUCUGGUGCCAGUGGAGAAGGGAAGGACAGCGUAGCAGGACAGCUCUGGAUCCCAAGAUGGAGACCAGUCUACCCUGUUCUAAUUACAGUUGGGUUAUUUAAUUUUAAUGGGGGUGGCUAUGUGACUGGGGAUCCCUAGCCACCCAUUGGAGGUAGGGAGGUGGUGGCCAUGCAACUAAUGGGGGAGGUGGACAUUUAUCAAGCAAAAAAGACCAUAAAACAUAUAACACAUUGAAUUGGUACAUCAAACUUAACCGACCCCAUGUGUGUAUUACACCUAAAGCCAACACCCAGGUAGACAACCAUAAAAAUAGCAUGACAAAGUUUCAAUCACAAGAGAUUUGCCUAAAAAAUACUUAUCAAUAUAACCAUAUUAAAAACACUGUAUCAAAAAGGCAUAUCAUAAAGAGAUAUCAAAGGCUUAUUAAAAUCCUUAUUUCAAAAAAAGGUUAAUCUAGAGUAAUUAUAAAAAUUAAACCAUUAUAGCACUGGUAACAAUAUUCAUGAAUAGACAGAUCUAAAAUAUAUAUCCAUUAUGCAAUGCAAUAUAAUGGAUAUAUUUCACAUUUUCAAACAUUUUCACUAUUUCAGUAUUUCUCACUGUGUUAAAUAUAUAUACCAAUGCAUAUAUAUAGUCCUAUACAAUUAGAACAAUGUGUCACUUCAUAAUAUAUGCUUUUGGGAGGCUUGGAUUGCCUGUUUAUGAGUUGGUCGACCUCUAGCAACAUUUCAUUCUGUUAGAUUUUGUCUGCAUAAUUUUAAGGGGAGAAGCACAGAACUAUAUACAGAGCACUUGGAAUUUAAAGCAGUGUAAAAACUGAAGCCACAGUACUUCUUCAUUUGCUUCUUUAAAAGUUUAAAAAAUCCACCACUCUGCAUGAAUGGCCAUUUACUGCAGUCCCUUCACAAUGAGAUGCAUGCAAACUCAACUUCCUUUGUAAAUAUAGUUAGCUGUGUUCCAAUGGGUUCACACUACACAAAAUCCCAGUUUACAGCCAUCAUUAUACACAAUUAUUCAUCAUGCUUAUUUCCAUUUGAUCUGAUUGGCUCUUUGACACAAUCGGAAACUAAUUUGCGUAUUUGUUCAGGAAAUAGACCUUUUAUCAUAGAUAUUUGUACUACUUCUAUUUCUUUAUUGUCACGUACAUGAUUACAGUAAUUGGACAAAAACUAGACUUGAAGAUACAUUUUAUUAUGAACUGCAAUUCCGAAUUUGAGAAGAGCAGGUGAUCUAGACUUCUGAACCACCAUAAACACUAAUCCCGAAACAAAUGACUUGCAUAGCGGCCAAGCAUGUUCAUUUUGAUUUGUGAUUCUGAGUUCUGAAAACCUAGCCCUCCCACUCCAAAAAGAUGAUUAAUUGGAAUAAAAGAUGAUUGAUGACAAAGGGCCAGACACUAAAUGUUAAUUGUAUGCACACAUCAAAUGAGAAGUGACCAAAAGAGGAAAAAAAAGGAGAAGUAAAACAAAUUAUAUAUUUAUAUAUUAUAUGUUUAUUAAAUAUUUACACAUAUAUAUAUCGAUUAAUUUGGGGUUAAAAGGUCAGUGAAUCAUUGAACUUUUUAGGAUAAGCUAUACCAGGGACCUCCUGGAACCAUAACAACUUCAUUAUGAUAUGGUUAUUGUGGUGCCCACCGUGUUCCUUUAAUAGAAAAAAAAAUCAAAUAUCUUUAUCUAUAUAACUGAAGAAAACCUACUUUAAAUAAUUUCUUAGAAUUUUCAUUAAAACAUUUGUAAAAAUUAUGGUUUCUUAGACAGGAUUCAUGUUCUAUUAAGCCAUGAAUAUUAAUUACUUAAAAUGGUUGUAAUUUACAUUCAAAAUGUCCUUUCCCUUCUCAUAUCCAUCAUUGUGUACUAGAUUUAAUCAAAACAACAGUUGCAAGGCUAAGCUAGAUAUAUUACUACAUAAUCUCCACAUCUCAUAGUUAGAUUUAGAUCAUGAUUUUUUUAUUUCACAUAUUUUUGUAUAUUUACCACUGGUAUUGAAAACUUUGAAAUGUUUUCCCAAACAUAGUGCAAUAUAAAUCAAUAGUUUAUGUUGCAAAGACUUCCCUCAGAAUGUAUCGAUGAUUACUUUACUUGAAUAGUAGAGGACGUCACUAAUGGAGUCUUAAACCACUUAGCACUAUUAGCAGUUGGCUUUUUUUAUUCCUCAUCAUUUGUCUUAGGUAUGUACCUAAGCCUUCAUUUUCAUUCUCUGUUUAAUUACUCAGUUAUUACCCAUAAUCACUCUUUUUAAGCUAGUGAUUUCAAGUAAAAGUUUCUGUUUUUACUUUUGCUUGAGGGAGCCAACCAAUCUGCAUGUUAAAUCAAACUUGCGCUGAUUUAAAUAUUUUUCCAGCGUGUGCAAGAUUUGUUUGAUAUUAAACAUGCUUUAUUAUGGGAGAAUCCAGUAAUAACUAUUCAUGCUAAACUAAUUUUAAAAGAAUGUAUGAUCCUUGGUGUUUCUUCCCUUUGUUGACGUGGACGAUUCAUGCAAAUCUAUUUUAUUUUAUACUAUACAAAAAAAGCGUUUUCAUUAUUGUACUAUUUUAUUUACCUUCAGUAAUAUCAACUGUAUAUUCUAUUUUACUUCAGAAGCCAGAAAGUACUAGAUAGUUCACUGAAAAAGAAACUGUUUUGAUAUUGAUUUUAGUAUUUAAAAGGACAAUGGGUAUAAUAAAUGUUUACUGGCCUUUUCCUGUAUCAACAGAGGAUAAUUUAAAGGAGAUGGCAUUUGUCAGUGUCUCGGGGAGUAUUAAACAAAUGAUGGACAGUUAUUAGUUCUCCUCAAGAAAAAAAUACUUGUACCUUACAUUUAUAUGCCAUGGGAAAAAUCACUUGGUAUUUUCCUUUGGCAACUGUUCAUAAUUUGAUGGAAAAUUGAUUAAUCACACAUUUAACUCAAUGCAAGAUCCUCUGCACUGUAAUAAAUUAUGGCCAUUAAUCAAUAACUACACAGUAAUCCCAGUAGUGUGGAGACAUGCUGAUUUCUAAUAGAAAACUUGCGCUUAGGCCUUUCUGCCAGUGACCACUUUAUCUGAGGUAUUUUGCACCUGCCUGAAUCCAAUUAGAUGACAUAAUUAAUGAACCUCAAUGCACUUGAUAAUUUGUUAUAUAAAAGGAAAGAAUGUUUUGGCACAUCCAUUAAAUUCUAAUCCACAACACUUAAAAAAAGGAGGAAAAAUUAUGUGAAAAUAGCCAUUUAUAAACUGAUUUUACGAUGCUUGCAGGAUAUAUAUACAAUACAAUUACAAAAUGGGUUAAUCUUUUAAAGUUCAUUAAAGAUAUAUCAAAAAUUGUAUUAAAAAAUGAUUCAAAGUUAAACAUAGUUUGUUUUAAGAAAUACAUUGUCAUUAAAAUAUUGUUUGGUUGUCUAUCUGUUAAAGGUUAUCAGAUUCAUUAUUUUCACUUCUGUAAAUAAUCAGACUAAAUAAGCAUACAUGUAUACUAAUGUUUACAUAGUCAUCUUGCACCUGUUAUUACCUUCUUUAACCCUUUCCUGAUGUUAGGGUGUGCUAUGCCAUCAAACAAAAGGAGGGCUUAAAUGCUGUUAAUUUUCAUUCUACAUGUAUAUUUAUGUAUUAUUGUUACAUAACUAUCUGUUUUUAUUAAUUAUAUAUUGGAGGACCCUGCUUGACAACCCAGGCAGAAAGUACAGAGAAUUUAAUUUGCAAUUCCUAUAUUUGACCUUAUUAUUUUCCAAGACCCAUGCAUAGGCUUAGAAAACCAAACUGACAAAUUUCAGUGUGUAAAAACUGAAAUGGGCAAGCCCUAUAUUUGAACCUGUAACUUUCCAAAACCCCAUAAACCCUAUAUGUGGGGGGUACUAUUGUACGUGUGACACAUCGCUGAACACCAAAAUGUGUAUUUUAUUGCAGUAAAAGCUAACAGUAUUAUGACAUUCAUCAUUAAAAUGUCACACAGAAAAUAGAAAAUAAAAUUUCUUAAUUUUAAAUUAUUUUUUAUAUGUAAAUAUUUGGUGUGAAAUUAAAGCCCUGUUUCUUCUGAAAAAAAUGAUUUAGUAAGUAUGGGUGAACUUAAUAUCAAAGAGAUAAAUUAUGAUUGAACAGACAUAAAGUCAAAUUUUAGGUUUUGUUUUAAUUCAGAACUUGUACAACUUCCUCCGUCCUUAAGGGGUUAAGCUCAUUUCAAUUAUUUUAGCAAGGUGUACUUGCUAUAGAUGGAAUACAAUCAGUACAAUUUUAGUUCUGUCAAUGGGAGAUGCCAUGAGCAGAUUUUGUUUAGGGAGUGAAAAACAAUUAGCAGAGGAUUAUGAGACUAAAAGGCCUUUCGUUGCUCUACCUGAAAAAUACUUUCCCCAUUUAAUGCCUUCGAAGCUGUCAUUGUGCUUGAACUUCAGUCCUAGUGAUUAAUGGAAAGCCACGAGGCACAGCUAGAAGCUAAAGUCUCAAUUAUGAAAAAGCACUAACUAGUUUAAUGUGCUGAUGGUUUUAUAUUUAAACUGACAACUGUGAAAAAUGGCAAUAUUUCCAAUCAUGCCUUAAUAAUUUAUCAUUCAUUUAUUGACAUGUCCAAAAUACUUUUUUUUCCCACUGUUCUUUUUCACUCAAGGCUUGUGGCAUAUUUAAUUCAAGAUGAUAGCAGUACUUACAUUCCAUAAAUGUUCAGGUUUACUAGAUAUAAUUUUCUGUCAGUAACAUUUAGUAUUAUAUAUUAUAAUAUAUAUAUAUAUAUAUAUAUAUAUCGAAAUCUUCAAAUUCACACGUAUUUUAUUCUAAUGCAAGAAUUGUAUUAUUAUAUAUAGAUUCAACUUUUUUAAAUCUCUGUAUUCAAUUUGAAAUGUAAGUUUACAUUUAAGUGAUAUCACAGCAUUUUCUUCACUAUCCCAUAUCAAAUUCAUUGUAUUUAUUUUAUCAAUCUUAAAAUAAUAAAAAAUAGAGGUGAUCCCGGGACACAAACCUAAAACCAGAUGCCUCAACUAUCGUUGUAAGCAAAUGAGCGAUUUCUGGCGUGCAGUGUUACUGAUUGGACAUGAGUCACUGGUUAAUCCAUCAAUAGAUAAGAGAAAGUCACUAAACUAAUAUCAGCUAUUCUGAACAUACAAAAAUAUUGCUAAUGCAUUUAGUGAAACAGAAGUAUAUGUAUGCAAAAUAUAAUAGCACAUUAAAAUCUUUCUACAUCUCAUUAGCGAAUGUAGGAAUUCAUUAUCAGGUUUUAGCAUUUCAAAUAAUUGUUUAAAAAUAAUUUAAAAUUUGGACUGCUACGUUAUAGCACAAAAAUGUAGGAUACUAAUAUCUGUGUUAUACAGAGAUUGCUGUUUAUGAAUACAUAAAACAAUUCAGCUAUAUAAAUAUACACCAUUUAAAAGUUUUAUUUACUUAUUCACUCUAUACAGAAAUGUUAAAGAAUAACUAUAGUGUCAGGAAAACACACCUGUUUUCCUGACACUAUAGUGUCCUAAGGGUGCCCCCACCCUCAGGGUCCCCCUCCCUUGGUGCUGAAGGGGGACCCUGAGGGUGGGGGCACCAUUAGGGCACUAUAGUGUCAGCUCCCGAGUGGAGAAAAAUGUGCAUGCACGGCAAGUGCCGCACGCAUUUAAACAGUACAUAGGAAAGCAUUUCUCAAUGCUUUCCUAUAGAUGUUCUGCACGCUGGAUGCAAAUUUCACAUUCAGGGUGGCAGAUGCACCUCUAGCGGCUGUCAGGAAGACAGCCACUAGAGGUUGGAUUAACCCUGCUAUGUUUAGAUGUGAAUGGUUAAAACCUGAGGGACCUGGCACCCAGACCACUUCAUUGAGCUGACGUGGUCUGGGUGACUAUAGUGUCCCUUUAAGUGCAUAACAUUUUUUAGAGACUAUAUGGUAUUUAAAGAUUUAAAGAUUAAGAUAUAAGCAGAAAUAUAUAUUUUUAAGUUCUAUAAAACAGGUGUGGCAAAUGCAUAUAAAAUGGUCAAAUAAACUGUUUAUAAGUAUUUGUAAGGAACCUGAUAACCUUUUGUGAAUACAGCUUCCAAAAGUCAAUCAUACUGUAAGAACUGUGACACCAUGUAUCUGGCAGUAGCUAGUGAAUUCCAUUACUGUGCUCAAUCUGCCAGAGGAAACACUCACUCGUCCCCUACCUACAAGAAGUCAGUUAUGAAAUUUGAACUAUAAAAGUUGUUAUCAUGCGUAGUAGAAGGAGUCACCAGCAGUGAUACCUAAAGACAGAAUGAAGUUCUACACCCAAAAAAAAGUGUAUCAAUAUACAGUGGAAAAAAUAAGAUUAAUUUAAACAAGUACAGCCACCAAUGUUGAAAAUCUUUAUGUUGAAUAUCUUUUCAAUGUGUAUACGUCUAAAUCUAACACAUACAAGCUGUCAAUAGGGUCUAAACAAAAUAGGAAGUGAAAACAAAAGUGUUAUGGUGAAACACACCCAUAAGUGUAUACCGUGACAUUUACUAAAUCAGCAAUGUAAAUCAGUGAAAUAGAGAUGAAAACUGUUUCAGGAGUUAUGGUAAAGUUAGGGCUAGCUGCUUUGUUUACUUGAAAUGGCUGGUAUAAACUGUAGUUAUACCUUAUUUUUGUGUAGGUCACUGUUAAUGUACAGAACAAAUGUUCACAACUUUUAACCUUUUUGGACCAACGCACACACAAUAAGAGAAAAUAUUCCAAGGAACACUUUCUUUGUUUGUUUAUAAAGGGUCACUCCAACCACUGUGACCACGUCAAUGAUUUGAAGUCGUCAUGGUGGUAGGGGCAAGUUGCACCGCCAGCACAUGUGACUUAGGCAGCCUAAGUUCAAUGAUGUCCAUAAAGUAUGUCUGUUGUCAGCACACACUGCAUGCUGACAACAGAAGUUAAAAACUUCCCCUUGCAAGCAGAGCACCUGCAAUGAGAAGCUAACUCUCCCCUCCUACCAUCCCUCCCACUCUGUGCUCCAUCCUCCCUCCCUCCAUGCUCAUUGGUGUUUAUUUUUAAAAACCUCUCUCCCACUCCUUCCCUUUGCUUCCCUCCCCUCGCUGGCCCGAAGCGCGUGUAUGUAAAAAGCAUGUGAUUGCGUGGCCACAGUUAAAUCCAAGGGGUCACGGAAAAACAUUGCAGGGAGCUUGGUCUGGCAUUGGAAGUUAGGUUAUUUAAACUUUUCAUUUUCAGAUUUCACAACAAACCAAAAGGGCAAAGAGGGGGGACCUACCCCACAGUGCCAACUAGGGGAUAUUACGCCGGAAACGUCUGUCUCUCAAUAGAGUUUUAAUAACCCUUUAACUUCAUGAGCGUAUAAACAUCAUACUUACUCAAAAACAUUACUCAGUUGACAUGUAUACUCCUGCAACAUUAAGGUAUUAGUUUUAAUUGAUAGCCAGAGAGUUAAUGUUGACACUUAAAAAAAACAAAAAAAAACAAAAAAAACACAUUUUUAAAAAACUAAAAAACAAAACAAAACAAAAAAACACCACAUUUUAAAGAUUGCAUUCAGCCUAGUACAGGCCUGAUGUCAAUGUGUUCAUGGCACACUUUUUGGUUGCUGGAGGAGCAAUGGCCACUGGCAUAGAAAAUCAAUUAAUAAAGGCUCUUAAUUUUUCAUUUGGUGUGAUUAUGUCAUCUAUUGCCUUCUACUGAACCCAUAAUUAUUUUUAACAUGUUUGUUUAUUAAAGUUGCAGAGAUACAGUACAUAAAAAAUAAAUUCAGUGAUAAUCAUGUAUAGUUAAACAAGAAUUAAAAGUAUUCUAGAGCAUUUCAGCGCUUCAAUAUACAUUUUUCCAUAUAAAGAAAAAGUAACAAAGGGAAGGGAUAGAUAGGGAGGAAGGAAAAGGGUGGUAACUUCCAGGUAGGCCAAUCAGACAGGGAUGGAAGAGAAGGGUUACAGUAUGUAAUUCACUGGAAACAAUGGCAUUAAUAGUUCAGCAAAGUGAUGAUACAGACUAUAAACUUAUAGCUGUAGCAUGGUUGAUGCUGCAUAAGUAGUAGAAACCUCAUAGCUAAAGGAACACUAUAAUGUUAGGAAUACAUACAAUUCCUAGGCAUUUCUAAAAAAUAAAUAGCAUACAUACAAUUGCUAGGCAGGAAAAAGUAGCAACAUUGUCUACAUGCUAUUUUUGUUUUUAUUUUAUUGUUUUAUGUUUUUUUCAUUACAUUGGGACCCUGAAGAAGUCCUAUUUGUUGUUUCGAAACAUGUAGGAGCAUUUAUUUUAUUUUAUUAUUUUUAUUUUUCAUUUUUGAAAUACAUUUUAUCAUGGUUUGAAAUAUACCUUUCUUGACUUUCAUAUUGGUGUGGUGUUCAUCACAGGAGUAGAGGAGCUCCCCAUAAUUUCAAGGGGAGGCACCCUUUGGCAAUAUAUACAUACUUAUUCUGUUAUGGCAAAUCUGUUAGCACAUUUAAAUGUGUUUCAUACUGUAUUAUAGUCUUUGUUUUAUAGAUCUACAGCUGCAUGCUCUGUAUUCUAUAUUUUUGGUUUGCUGCUUAAAAGGAUACUUUCUGAGAAAUUCGUAGAGAAUGGGGGUGUGGGAUUUCAAGGCAUCCAUCUUUGUGUGUUUCAUGUGUUUCCUAUUGGCACAAUUUACCAACUCCUCAGAAACCCGAGAUUGUUCUACAGCAUGCAUCCACUCAGAUAUAGUAGAAAAGGUGGGAGAUUUCCACUUAAGUGGAAUUAGGGUCUUGGCUACCAUCAGAAGUCUAACCAUGAGGGAGGAUCUAAAUUUGAGUAACAAGGUGGAAGUAUGGAAUAAAAGCACAUUUCUGAUGUAAUGUGAAGUAGCAGGUCAGUGAGCUUGGUAUCAUAAAUGUGUAGAUGAUUGACUUCCAAAAAGGUAUUAUAAGAGGGCAGUGUAACCAAAUGUGUUCACCUUCCAUUUGUUGAUGUUGUGAGGUUAUUUAUGGGGAUUAAUUAUUUUGAAUUAAGUUUCAUUAAUUAAAAAUAAUAUUUUCAUAAAAAUUAUUAAAAUGAAUAAUGUUUAUUAAAAUAUCAGAGGUUGAUAAUGUAUUGGCGCUUAUUAACCAAUUAUUAUUUAAAGCAAAGAGUUUAAUCACUAUUUUAACUCUAUAGACCUGGAGUACAUUGUUCAAAUUUAAUAUUUCAUACAUUAAUAUUACAACUUUUUAUGCAAAUUAUAAUAUUUAUUUUUUGACAAUAAGUGUAAUUAUACAUGGUAAUUAGUGAAUAGUUUUCAAAAAUAUUGAACAAGAUAUGGCAUAAAUCAGUAUCUCAACCUCAGUAACAAUUUCAAACUCUUUAGAGUGAUAGGAUUGUUAGUUCAUGACAACUUCAAUCAACCGGGUGAGUAUAUGGAAUAUGUUCUUCAUACACUAUUGAUUGAGACAAUCAGCAAAUAGAAUGUUACUAUUUGUUAAAUUAUAAGGAACCAUAUGAGUUUAUCAGCAUAUGGAUUAAUAUAAUUUAAAGACAGAAUUUUUCAGGAUCUUAAAAUACAAUCUUAGCUUUUUACUUCUUAGUACAAUUUACAAAUACAUGUGGAUUGUUUGCUUAUUGUAAACACCAUUCAUUAGACUUAGCUGGACAGAGUUUGUUAUUUACUCAGGAGAUCUAUCCACAAAGUUCUAUGACAAUGUUUUACCAGCUAGCACAGAAUUUUAACCAGUUCAGUGCUGUUUCAGAGUAAUUAAUUAUGAUUAAUUAGUUCAUCCAGUAACUAAACUCUUGCAGGUUUAGUUAAAACAAUUCUUAUCUGGUAAAUAUCUCCUAGAUUGUUAUGUGAUAAUAUUCCUGGGUAACUCUUGAUAUUCUAUUUUUUAUUUCAUGAUUUGAGUAAUAUUCCAAUCUGCAGUUUGAGAUAUCAAUCUUUAUCAUGAGCUAUCAUGAAACCCAAUCUGGCGGAUUUUGUAUCAGCUUUUAACCAACAAAUAUUAGCUUUUAGUUAUGUAAUUUUAUAGUUAGUAUAAUUGGCUUAUAUUUUCCAAUAGAUGUUCUGGAUGUUAUUUUUAAGAUUGUUUCAAUAUGUCUUCUGUCUGUCUCUUGUCUCGUGUCCUAUCUCCUUUCUCCUUGUGUGUGUCUCUCUUCUAUGUGUCUCUGUGUCUCUGUGUCCUCCGUUUAUGUGUGGUUUUUUUUAGGUGUGUAUAUCACGGUUUAUAUGUCAUUCCUUAUUUGUCAACCUUCUGACCUGGUCCAAUGACAUUUUGGGGCAAGUCAUUAUGUUAAUGGCUGUUGACGUAAUUUUUAUAUAUAUUUCUAUAUGUCUUAAACAGCAGGUGGAUUUGUUGUCUACGUCAGGAAUGUUACCAGCUAUUAUCAUAUAGGGUUAAACUUUGUUCAGGACAAUUUAGGAAUGUUUAAUUUCAAAAUGCUUUGGUCACCAUUUCUUCUUUUCUCUCAAUGUGGACUUCGGUCUCACACCAAUAAACAAAGGUGUCCUUCCUCAUCUAAGCGUUAUGGUAAUUUCAAGAUAUUUAAGCCGUCUAACUUAAUUUAUCUCUAUUGAUUACAUCUUUAUAUGUAUAUAGUUUCUAUAUAUGUAAAUUGCUAAUUUAGGAUAUAUCACACUAUAUUUCUAUUUUUAUAUAUAAUUAAACUUAAUUUAUAUACCUCAUAGCAAUAUAUGUGUGUUUGCUGAACACGUACUUUUAAUUAACACAUACUUGUCUUAUCUGUAUUCUUAUUUUUUUAUUGACACAGAUGCAUUUACUCACUGUCUGGCUCUUAGCUGACAGGGUCAUACUUUGAGAAAAACAUCUUGUUUCUUUAGUUUAGCACCUCAUGGCAUAUUAGCUAAAUUGCAUUUUUGCUAUUAAUCACGUAUUAUAUUUUAUCACACAAUAUAUACGUAUUUCCUUCCUACACAAUAUCUCUUACAAUGUGACUCCAGACUUAAAGGGACACUAUAGUUACCAGAACAUCUACAGUUGUUCUGGUAUGUAUAGUAUGUCUGUGCUGGCAUUUUUAUGUAAAAACUGCCUUUUCAAAGAAAAGGCAGUGUUUACAUUUCUCCCUAGGGACACCUCCAGUCGCAGUCACUCAAACAGCCACUAGAGGUGCUUCCUGACUGACGUUCAGCAUCUCCAUGAUCUGCAUGGAGACACUGAACAUUUCUCAUAGAGAUUCAAUGUAUUUCUACAUGAGAUGCUGAUUGGUCAGUGAGUCUCAUUACUCAAUUCUCUGCAAUGAAUCUAUAAUAAAAUGUGAUUGAUCAGACCAGGCAAUCUACUUUCAUUGCUCAUGGUCCAGUUAUGAUGCUCCACAUUGAAAGUGCUAUUGGUGGUGGGUAGGGGUUAUGAUCGACACUCUGCCCGGUUUGCCUCUCCACAACCCCAUACACAGCAAACUGCAAUUCACUGUGUGUUCCAACACCAUCAAUUUGAGGUAUGAUCCGACCAGAAGGGCUAGCCAGAUGGGUUAGACCUUGUUGGAGCCUCCUGUGUGUCAUUAAAGUUCAAUUUACAGAGAAGGAGAUUAAAACUUCUAAAGCAAGUUAACAUUUCAUUAAAAAUGAAACCAUUUUUUUCAUGUAGGCCGUGUCAGUCACAGUCAGGGGAGGUGUGGCUAGGAUGGCAUAAACAGAAACAGAAAUGAGCAGUGAGACUGCAGGGCCAUUAUCUAUACACAUAAACGACUUCAUUAAGCUAAAGUUAUUUUGAUAUCUAUAGUAUAGGCAUAGGGAAGCUUAAUAAAAACAGCCUCUUUUUUUUUAGAAAGUGUAUAAAAGGCUCUGUGAGUCUCAGCUAGGUAAUGUGUGUCUAGGGCUGCAUUAACAACACAAUAUAACUCUUAUAUGUCAGUGGAUUGAGUAGUAUGUCUGCAGGUUCCUUAUUUAUACACCAGAACUACUUUAUUAAGGUGUUUCGUGCUUAGUAUGUCCCUUUAAUUUAGCUGUUUACUUGACCUCAGUUAACAUUUCAAUAUUUACUACUGUACAUAAAACUGUUGAAAUAGUAAGGUGACACUGCAUCCUAAUACACCUUUAAUUGCUGAAUCUAUUCAUUCUGCUAUAACUUUUCUUUUGAACAUGGUCGGGAUAUUCCAAAAUAUGACUUAUAAAAAUAAAAAGCAACAAAAAAAAAAAAACAACAUAACUUCAGGUUUCCUUAUUUGCCCUGUAGUCUAUCAUUCUGCUGAAUUAACAAAUAAAACAAUGGAUAAAAGUAGAUUGCAUAUUUACUCACCCGCUAAUCUCCAAACUAUUUGAGAUAAAAAUUAAUUUGGCUUCUUGGCAGACGAGUAGGAGAUUCUAAUUACUUGCUCCUACUAAAUUAAAUCUAUGCAUCAUUUUUUAUAUUGUUAAGAUAGACUAGUUUCUCAUUUUAUUCAUACAUCUAAUGGGAAUGGCAAAUAAUUUAUAGGAACUUACACAACAUUGUUUACAGUGAUACAAUUCUUGUUUUAAUUUUAUGCUUUUCAGUAGAUUGUUAAAACCCUUCUUUUACUAAACAGUCAAUCAAAUCACUUUAAUAUCGAUAGGUUUAUUUAUGUUUUCUGUGAACAACAAACAUCAAAUCUUUUUUAUGAUAUGGAGAGCAUUUAACAUAAAUAUAAAAGAGCAGCUUAAAAACUGUCAAAUUAACUUGCUUUUAUAUAACGUAAUAAUCAAGAGUUGGGUCAUUUUAUUUGGACAGGAGUACCUCAUACUCAGUUAUUAUUAUUAUUAUUAUGAUAUUUAUAGAGCGCCAUCAAAUUCCGCAGCGCUUUACAAUGGGUGGACGAACAGACAUGUAGUUGUAACCAGACAAGUUGGACACACAGGAACAGAGGGGUUGAGGGCCCUGCUCAAUGAGCUUACAUGCUAGAGGGAGUGGGGUAAAAUUACACAAAAAGGUAUGGAUAGUAUUAGACUAAUGACAGUUGCAGAAGAGGAAUUAGUCAGGAGCUAUUAACAGUUUAAUAGUUAUCUGUGUUCAAAAUACUGAGACUGCAAUUGUCAUUGAGUUUCAAGGGGUCAACUAGCCUGUGAAUUCUCUGCCGAAUUGUAGUCUGCAUACUCUGCAUCAGGAGAUUUGAGGAAAGGGAUUUAGGGGUGAUUAUUUCUGAUGACUUAAAGGUAGGCAGACAAUGUAAUAGAGCAGCAGAAAAUGCUAGCAGAAUGCUUGGUUGUAUAGUGAGGGGUAGCAGUAGAAAGAGGGCAGUGCUCAUGCCAUUGUACAGAACACGGGUGAUACCUCAGUAGGAGUAUUGUAAGCAGUACUGGAGACCUUAUCUCUAGAAGGAUAUUGACACUUUAGAGAGAGUUCAGAUAAGGGCUACAAAACUGGUUCAUGGAUUGCCGGAUAAAACUUAGAAGGAAAGGUUAAAGGAACUUAACAUGUAUAGCUUGGAGGAAAGACGAGAUUGGGGGAUAUGAUAGAAACAUUUAAAUACAUAAAGGGAAUCAACACAGUAAAGGAGGAGACUAUAUUUAAAAGAAGAAAAACUACCACUACAAGAGGACACAGUCUUAAAUUAGAGGGGCAAAGGUUUAAAAAUUAUAUUGGGAAGUAUUACUUUACUGAGAGGGUAGUGGAUGCAUGGAAUAGGUUUACAGCUGAAGUGGUAGAGGUUAACACAGUAAAGGAGUUUAAGCAUGUGUGGGAUAGGCAUAAGGCUAUCCUAACUAUAAGAUAAGGUCAGGGACUAAUUAAAGUAUUUAAAAAAAAAUUGGGCAGACUAGAUGGGCUGAAUGGUUCUUAUGUGCCGUCACAUUCUAUGUUUCUAUGUUUUUAUUUCAUAGGUUAGUGCCUCUAGUGGUGUAAUGUAAUUCUAAUUUUAUAAUUUACUGUGCAGAUUGACAAAGAAAAAAACAAAUCUGAUCGAAUGAAGGGACAGGUUUGCCUUAUCUCUUAAAAUCAAUCAUCAGAGACCAUUAGACAUAUAGAGAGUAUUUGCAAUAGUAAAGUGUCAGCGCUUAGUCAAUAUUCCCCAAAUAUUGCAAUAUCUGUUUUAUUGGGAUUGAGGAAUAUCCUUUGUUGUGAUUAGCAGCUUUUUAUUAAUAACGUUUUUUUGUGUUUUAUUUUAAUUUAAUUUUAUUUCUUUAUAUUGUUGCGCUCUUUUGAUUUAUAUUUAUAUAGAGAGUAAUGCUACAGGGCAUAUUGAUCAAAAAAAUUAUAUUUUUAACGAUUCCCUUCCUCAUUCAUUACUUACAUUACAAGUAUGGAUUCCUUUAUUAUCACUUUCCUCAACAAAUAAGGUAUUAAUACAUUCAUUGAAGUUUAAAUAACAAUGUGGAACAAACUAAGAGUGUUCAAAAAUGUUGGGUUCACUCAGAAAUCUCCUUAUUUUCCAUGAAAAUAUAUAUGAAAUGAGUUUGAAUAGGAAAUAUAGUCAUUGACAAUUUUAGAAACAUGAAAUAAAUGAAUAUAUAGUAAAAUAAUAAUUGCAAAUCAGCUGACUGCUUCUUCUUAUAGUUAUUGCAUAGUUUGGAGCUAUGCUUCAGGUCAUCAUCCUGCUAAAGGAUAAAAUUGGCCCCAAUCAAGCACCAUCCACAAGGUAUGGAAUGGCACUGCAAAAUGGAGUGAAAGCCUUCCUUCUUCCUUUUACCCCGUAUAAAUCUCUCACGUUACCACCACUAACAAACCCCCAGAUCAUUACAUGCAGCCUCCACCAUGCUUGACAGAUGGUUUCAAACACUCCUCCAGCAUCUUUUCGUUUUGUCUAAUCUCAUGAAUGUUCUUCUUUGUGAUCAGAAUAGCUUAAGUUUAGAUUUUUACCAGAAUAUUAUCAAAUUUAGAUUUUCCUUAGAUUAGAUUAGUUUUCCUCUGUCCGUUGUCUAUAUUCUUUUUCCUGUCUCAAUCUUUUCUUUGACGGUCUGAGAUAUUACUUUUUCGUUGCAACUAUGCCAAGAAGGCCAGCAUCACUGUUGACAUUGAGACUAGUAUUUUGCUGGGAAUAAUUUAAUACGGCUGGCAAGUGAGGACCUGAGAGGCAUCUGUUUCUCAUACCUGACACUCUUAUGCUCAGUUGUGCACAACUCUUUCUAUUCUGGUAUAAGACAGAUAAGAUGCAGAAAUGGCAGCCAUUCCAAUGGAUUCACAGAGCUUUAUAUCUGCUCUUAGAAUAGAAGUACUCCAGAGAUACGUAGAACUUUAAAAUCCAAAGACCUAAAGAUUGAGCUUUUGUCUACAUCAAAUACCAGUAUUUUACAAUAUGAUAUUAAAUGCUAUUAAUGACAUUAAAACAUCCUUCAUAUUUUCAGCAUCAUCAACAGUAUCCUGCUGCACAAGUGCAUUUACAAUUGUUUAUUGUCAAAUACAUUUUCAAAAAAGUUUAGGGAUGAACAUCAAACCUUCAGACAAGCAGCUCUCGGAAGAGAUAUUUGUAUAAUGAAAUAUAAUAGGUGAAUCCAGUAGCAAUGGGAAUGAUUACUGCUUAAAUGCACAGCAUAGUAUUUACUACAUUUUACUCUUGCGUUUUAUAGAGUUUUGAACUUGCAUAUAAUUUUCGUUAAAGGAUCACUCUAAGCACCAUAACAACUUGGCAUCAUUCCUAACUUUAUGGCAUAGAGGAUACCGAGCAACCAUUCUUAGUCCUGAGAGUAAUUUAUAUAUAAAAAAACAAACACAUGUGGGGCAGCUUGUGAGAUCACUGCACAUAGCCCAGUACCCAAAACAAUUAAUACGGCUGUAUAUAAACCAAUAUAAAUAUAUACAAAUCAAUAUCAACAUAUAUAAAAAUAUAUAAAGCAAUAACAUUUGCACUAUGGCUGCUUUUAAUUUAUUGAGCAGUUUAUUAGCCAGGAUUCUGAUUGGAGAAGCCUUUUCCUGGGUAGAGAGGGGCCUGUCUGUAGCUGUAGACUUAUGUUGUAAGCUGUACAGCGCUAUGAUUUUUGAAAGUGAGUAUCUUAUUAGUUUAUUAUUUUUGUAGUGUAUUACUUUAAUGCAGUAUCUAUAAAAUGCAUUAACAUAUGGGAAUUAUGGGACCAAUUUUGCUGAUUGUUUCUCCUUAAAUCACUGUAGAGUUUUGAUUAGACUAACUUAAUUUAGUGCAGGAAACAAUAAACUAGAUAUUUCUUCUAAACAACAAUAAAAUACAAACACAACAAAGAAAUGGUGGAUUGGCGCUUAAUACCAAAGAAUGGGCAACUACCCCCAGUGCCCAAAAUCACUAAAUGGCACUCAGAUACAAAGUGAGAGAAAUGAGUAUAAGGGGGGUGCAAAGAAAUAUACAAUACUUGGCUGUAUACUUAGUAUAGUGAGUUGAACACCUCCUGAUCUUCCUAUAAUAGAAACAUAAACAUAUGCAUAGUAUAAUACUGUAACACAAGGAAAAAUGAUCAAUUAUGAAGGUAUUGGGUCACUCACAAUAUGCAGAGCCACAUAAAGCUGGCUCUGACUUCGAAGGCAGAUGAAUAAUAAGCUUAUUCUGGCUUUCAGAUUCCUAAGCAGGAUAGCUCCUUUCCAGCCCCUCAAUGAAUUUCAGGAUAUCCAAUUUGGUGAAAAUGAAAUAAAUGUUACUGGAUACAAAAUAGCUGUUCAACUCACUAUACUAAGUAUACAGCCAAGUAUUGUAUAUGUAUUUGCACCCCCCUUAUACUCAUUUCUCUCACUAGAUAUUUCUUCUGCUUAUAAAUAUUUCAAUACAUCUAGUGUUCAGUUAAUUGAUUCUAAAAAUCUACAAAUAAAGAUAUAAAUAAAUAAACAAAGCAUUGAAGAGGAUAUUGCUUGAAUCCUACAUAUUAUUGAAUUGUAAAAUGAAUAAAAUACUAAUUGCUUGCUCCCAGUAAAUGAAGCAAAUUCGUCACCAUUUUCUGACAUUAAAAAGAGAUGGCUUGGACUUCAUUUUACUCAUAAACAGAAUAUUUACUUGUAAUUGUUGAUUGGAAAUAAAAAAUAUAUUGCAUGCUUUUAGAUAUACUGCUUUUCUGAGGUUGUCUGUCCUUUCCCAGAAUGCUGCAUGGUGCUCUAAUAAAUCUGAAAAGAUGUCCUGCAAAAUUGCUAUUUGCAUUUCUAAGCUUUAUUAUUAAUCGGAGUGUUUCUGUGAAGUGAGUAAAUUGUGCAAGUGGCUGAAACAAUAGUUUCAAAAAGAAGAUUAGUGGCCUUAAUAUGCAUUGGAGAGCAAAAGAGAAAUCGUAUUACUGUAUGGAGAAAUUACCUCAUAAACAAGCGAAUACAGCAGGCAAGGGAGUAAUUUUUAAUAAGGUUUUUAUGAUGCACAAGUGUAGGCAAGUUAAUGAACUUACUGUAUCUUUCUAGUUAUAUUCAGAUUAUAACAAUGAUUUUCACUUUCGGUUCUUAUGCAUUGAAAAGUAAAAUACAUUUAAUCACUUACAAUAAAAAUGAUUUCAUUAGUUUAAUAAAUCAAGUAAAAUCAUACAUUCAUACCUGGUUUAAUGCUAUUGCAAAUAAUUGAAAAAAUUUUUUGAAGAAAUUGGUGUGGAAUGGGUACUCUGAGGUAAAAAAAAUGCAUAUUAAGAGUCUAUGGCAUUUCAAGUCUAAAACAAUAAAUACAUGCUUUGAAUUGUAAACACACUGAAAAAGACCCCUAGGCGAAACAGACUAGUAUCAGCUAAGGUUUAAAGAAUAAAAAUAUACUGUUAUGUCUUUUGAUAAUUCUAAGCUGAGUUGCAUGAAUCUCUCCAAUGUAUUUUGAUGAAGCACAACUUGUCUCACAGUACUAUAUUACUGAAAAAAUAUGCUGCAGGUCACAAUUAUUUAUUUAAUAUAUUGCCGACUUCAAAGUCAAUAAAAUUCUGUUUCACUAGCUAUGAAUGAAACUCGAAGGUGGGGUUUGUUCAUAUACAGAACAAAAUCAAAGAAUAGAAAAUGGGGAUUAUUAAGCUGAAUUAUUUAUUUUAGGGAAAAGGUCAAAUAAAAUGCAUAUAGAAGGUUCAGUAGGAGUCAGUGAAAGGGCUAUUUUGUAAAGUGAGAAUUGUCAUGAAUUCAAAGUGAAUUCAAAAUAGAUUUUGCAAUUUAAGUCCAAAAUAGCUGAACUGGGAAAAUUUUUGUUAGCUAUUUUUCCAUUUUAGCUUCUUUGGCUUUAAACUGGAAAUUUCUUUGAAUUCACUUUGAAUUCCUGACAAUCGUCACUUUAGUAAAUAACACUGUGAGGAUUUUUUUCUUUGCACAUAAUUCUUUAUAAAACUUUCAAAUAAGAAACAUAACUCUUUUGGGUGGUUAUCAACCUGCAGUAUUGUUAGUUUUUUUAUGUACAGUAUGAGAGGGUGUGUUUAGCAGCCCUAAGUAAGAUAUCACUAGGAUGAACGAAGUGCAUAAUCCCCCUAGAUUAACAGAAAUAAAUAUGGGUAGAAAACCACACCUCCAACAAAUGGGAGAACGGAGGGGGAGGCACCAAGCACUUAAAAGGAAGGGCCGAACACUGUGACAUCAUUAGAAGAAGUCCGGGGAGGCGGACGAAAUGCGUCAUGCAUGAUGUCAUCAAGAGGCGGUCCCAAGUUGUCACAUGAUCGGAACAGUGCAGAAACCAGGAAGUUACUGCAACCUGCUGCCGUUUUACAUUUGAUUUCUGCUUGUCAAGUUAUUGGUUUAUUGACGGCAAACCCACUAUUUUAAGUAAGAGUUUUUAACCUUUGUCAUUAAUAAAUUGUACUUAGAUACUAUUCAAUUUGGGAUCCUUUGCCUUGUUAUCCUCUUGUACUGCCCAGAAGUUCCUGGUAGGUAUUAUACCUGAUAGAAGGGAGACACCUGUCUUGAUUCAAGCUGUGCGAUUAUCCCUCUCCAGUGGAGCUAAUCAAAUCCAGUGGUAGGGGUAAUAGGGCUUUGGUAUAUGUGAGUUCUAUCCCAGACACUCUUAUAUUUUCUUUCAAGUAUUUUCCAGAUAGUCUGCACUAUAUAUGCACUAUUUAUUAUACUUUUCAGAUUGUAUAUUGAGAACACUGUAUUCACUGCAGUUGCUAGCGUGCUCUGUUUUUGGUAUUUAUUUGUAUUUGUGUGUCACGUAGUGUCACUUUGGGGCAGGGCAGCUGUACUGCAUAUUUUUUUUAUUAAUCUCAAGUGCUUAUAACACUUCUGGUUACAGAUGGAAGCAGCAAAGAUAAACAGGGCAUUUUUAUUGACUAAACAAGCUGUGUUAUUUUAUAGGUCAAUAUUAUUAAAGACACGGAAACUCCUUAACUCUUUCUUAUGCUUAUGAUGAACUCUUUCUUUAUUUCCCUCAACAGCAAAGAAAAAAAUAUGAGACAAAUCAUAUUAAAAAAGUGCACAAACUGGAUAGUAAAAAUGCAACCAAUCACAAUACAGGUUGUGUCUCUUAUAAACUCCUCCUCUUUCUUUGCUGCUCCCUCAGACCAGCUAAGUGCUUAAAUUGAACACAUAUAAUUUAAGCUAAGUGCUUAAAUUGAACACAUAUAAUUUUCUAUAUAUUGUUUCUGCUUCUAUUACCUUAAUAGAGUUCAUUACACAUAUUUAAUUUGAUAUAUAUUGUUUUUGCUUCUAUUACCUUAAUAGAGAUCGUUACACAUAUACAAUUUUAUAUAUAUUGUUUUGCUAUUUAUUACCUUUAUAAUUUGUUUGUUUCUAUAUAUUUUUCCUUACUUCUCUGCUGCUGAUUGCCUGCAUUACUUUCGUUAUAUCUUUCCUCGGAGUGUGCCAAGUCUUUCUCACUUUUUCCCUUUUGGAGGGCUCCUUGGGUUUUACUUUUACUGCUUUCCAUUUUGGAGAAAUAUAUUUUAUAGGUAGAUUACCUGAUAGAAUGAACUAAAUGUGUAGUUGUGGACAAUGAUAUUAGAUACUCUAUAAUAACCAGCCACACCCCGUUUUUGGUUUUGCAAAUGUUAUUUUCUGCCUAAAAAAUUAUAAACUAAUUUUAAAGCAACUGUACAGGUAAAAAAAAUGCAUAGGCCUCUCUCCCCUCCCCCACCCAACAGUAAACCUACUAUCACUAAAUGUUUCUUUCCCUAAAUAGUGUAAAAUUUAAAUUUAGAAGUACCUUUACUUUGAUCACAUAUUCUGCUCCUCCUCUGAUUUCAUGUCAUUUCCCUCUUUGGUUUCUUCCUGCUUCCUGUAUUUUAGCUGGACUAUCCACCAAUAGCCAUGCUCCAGUUAUUGAGAAUCAGUAAUGACAUGCCUUAGUCAUUGCAAUUUGCAUCACUCAACACAUGUCCACAAUGCCUAUCCAUGUCUCCUCAGUGUCCUCAGCAUUUGGACACUAGAACUUACAAACCACAUCACACACAAACAUUUCCUCACUUCAUUAGGUAUUAAAUAGUGUCAUAUGUUUAUUAUAAAGUUAAGUCUUACGCAUUUUUGUUGCCAUCACACUUUUAUCCUUUCACUGUCUGUUCCUAGAGACAGAUUCUGUGUACAUACCAGUUCUUUUCGUAACUACUGAAUGAUGCACACAGUUAAAUAACCACUUAAGCCUGAUUGACUUGUUGAAACUAUCAAACAUUCUUCUUGAAUAUAUGUCAUCAGCCAAGCAAACUGUGUAUUUCAAGAUAUUAGGGUUUAAUUAUAUUUGGUCUUAGAUUUAAUACACAAUAUAGUUUUGCAAUGGAUAAAAGAAAGAUAGAGAUAAUAUCUGCAUUCAUUAUGUGAGAUAGAGUAUUGUCAGGAAUAGAGUAAAUAGACACUAUCAUAAAUCAAGAAAUGGGUAUGUUUUGUUGUUAUCGUUAAGCGAAUUAUAAAAUUGUUGGAAGAAAGAACAAAGUGUUGACACCUAGCUGGGCUGGUGUUGUAACUUUGCAGAUUUAAGUGAAUAGUUUGUGAUCUUGUCCAAGGAUGCUCAGUGAUUAUAAAGACAUGACAAAUUAACGUUUGAUUAUAGCUAUAUAGAGGACAAAGAACAUGAAAACAAAUAUUGUGAUGGAGACAAAUAUUGUGAUGGAGACUAGAGCUGUAACAAAUAACAUAAUAAGAAUACAAAUAUUCAUAGGAUAUACAGUUUUUAAGAUGCAUGUAUCAAAGUAGACUUCAAAAUUGGGCUGUUUGUAUCAAAAACUGUAAUCCAUGUAUCAACCAUACACCAGUGGCCACAUGUGUAGGUACACCUGCACACAUGCAUGCUAGUGCAAAAUAUCUUUGCAUACAAUCAUGCCACCACAACUUCAUGCAUUAAAGCAUGCAGACCUGCUCAAGAGGUUCAGUUGUUGCUAAAAUCAUUCAGGAAGGGUAGGAAAUGUGACUUUGAACCAGGAAUGAUUGUAGGUGUCAGAAAUGGUGGUUGAAUAUCUCUGGGGAUUUUCAUGGACAACACUUUCUAGACUCUACAGAAAGUGGUACAAAAAGCAAAAAUAUCUAGUGAGCAGCAGACAUGUUGGUAACGAUGCAUUGCUAAUGGGGGAUGUUAGAGAAUAAUGCCAGAGACUAAAGUAAGCUGACAGAAACAUGACAGCAACUAAAAACACCCUGCAUUACCACACUGUUAUUAGGAAGACCAUUACUGAACACACCAGGAAACUGAGGCUACAGUGGUCACAGGUACGCCAAAUCUAGUAGUAGAAUACUUUAAAUAUUGCCUUGUCUGAUGAAUCUUUGCAAAUGCAGAUGUUAGGAUAAUCAUUUAGUGAAACCAAGAAAAAAAAAAUGGAUCCAUCCUGCCCCAUAUCAACUUCCUUGAGAAAGGGAGGCAUUGUUAUUUUAACAUUGUUAUUUUGGUAUCAGUAUUCUUUAGCAUAACAUUUUGCCACUGUAUGUCCAUUAUCCGGUAUGUAAUUUGCUGUCGCUUUAUAGAUAAUAAUAAUAAUAAUUAUUACCAUUUUGUUGAAUUUUGCUAAUGUAGUAUACCCUCUGUGAAUAAAUUCUACUCUUUCUCCAUAAAUAAAUUCUCCAUAUAUGUUUAGUUUGUAGUACCCUUCAUUGUUUAAUUACAAAAAAUUAUGUUGGUACCAGUGGUGUAAUGGAGUGGGGACAGGCAUUGGGCUCCUUAAUACCAGUUGAGUAUUGUUUAAAUUCCACAACCUUCCUGAGUAAUGUUGCUGACUAUACAUAUCACAUCCUCUAAUGGCUGUAUCUAGCAGGAUAACUCACCAUGGCGCAGAGACUUCAUCUAAAGAUGGUACUGCAAGAAAAAAUGAGUUCAGUGUAUUUCAGCUGCUUCUGCAGUCACUAUAUCUCAAUCCAAUAAGCACCUUUUGAACAACAACAACUGCAAACAAAUAUUCAGCAGCAACUGUGUGAUGCAAAACAUCAGCAUGAACCAAGAUCUCUAAUCAGUUCGGUACUGUCUGGUAUGCUAUUUUGAGUGUUUCCAUUAUGAAAGUGGCCCAUAUAACCGAAUCAAACCGAACCUGGGCCCCCUUUGGAUGUAGGUCCAUAGGAAAUGGUAUGGUACGGUUAGGUCGGAGCUACUGGCGUCACACUAUACAAUCCAUUUAUUGGCAGAUAGGAAAACGUCAAUGCUCACAACAAAUGACAUGCUAGGCAUUUCGUCUAAACCCUGCAUGCCCCCUGGCGGUCCGACUUGCAGUGGAAACACUCAUCUGAAUAGGCUGGACCAUUCUAACCCUUCCGAACCGUACCAACCAGUACCAUACUGCUCAGUGGAAACGAGGCAUAAGAAAUGAUUCCAGCUACUAUGUUUCAUUAACAAUUACUGGUAUUGUAAACUCAAUGGGAUGAAAGAUUGUUAACUGAAAAUAAACCACAUAAAAAAAACAAAAUAAGAAACAAAUUUAGUUGAGUCCCUCAUGUAUCCAACUUGUACAAAUAACCAAAAUACAUUCUAUCUGCAAUGCUAGUACACUAUGCAGUACCUAUAUUUUUAUAGUCUAUAUUGCUUUAGAGGUUUACCUGGUCACUGAACAGGUGAAUGUUUUUAUAGACCAACAAAUCAGCCAUAAGAACCAUUUACAGUCUACUGAAAAACUUGUUGAGAAAUAAGAGGUAAUCUUUUGUUUAACAGGCAAUGAUUGUGUAUCCAUUUCAUCUAAUCAUAUUUGACAUAUAUUGUUGUUGUUUUUUUUUGUAAAUACAUUUUUACUAUUUUUUUUCACUAUCUCAUAUAACAUAAAAUACAGUAGUUGUAAAAGAGACUUUAGGACUUUAAGAGAACAUAUGUGGUUUAAAAGGGUUUGCAGGUAAAAAUUAUGUAAACCCAUGUGUAGAUUAAGUAUGUUAAAACGAGUUUAGGGAAAUCCAGGAGAAGUAGCGAUUGAUACCUAGGAGGCCUAAGAUAGGCUUUUCUUGAAAUGUACCAGAACAACAUUUUACUGCCCUUAAGUGUGCUGCUUGGAGAUGGGCACCUUACAAAGGAUGAGGGUAAACUUGGCUGCAGAAGAAGGCCUAGAGAGAUCCUGUGAUCCAACACCAGCAUGGAUAGACUAUAGGUCUUAUCCAUUUUACCAAAUUAGUUAAUUGAAAAUGAAAUGUAAAUAAAUAACUCACAUAUAAAUAUUCAGCUCGGUUGUUUUCACAGCUUGGCUAUUUUGUCCUAAAUUAUGCAAUUUGGUUUUCAAUUUAUUACAAUUUGAUGUGUACAUUAUCAUUCACAUGUCUUUCCUAUAUAUUUUAUAUGAAGACUUAAAGGCUACAACUGAUGAUACUUAUAGAUGGGUAUACGAACAAAUGCAGGUAAAGACUAACAUUAGAAUCUACUGGAUUACCUGUUCACUGCUAUUUGGUAGAGGUUAGUGUCCGUGGUAAAUAAUGUUGCAUGUUUAUGAAGCAUUAAAUAGAUGACAUUAAACAUAUUUUAAACAAAGUUUGAGAAGCGGGAGUAAGGGUGAAUACUUUCUUGAUAACUGAGAAAAGGUGUGUUAAGGAAUACUGGGAUGAUGAAGCUUACAAAUAGUAAUCAUUAAUAAUUUCUUACUCAUUUCAAGAUUUCCCUGAAGGAUUUGGUCGAUUGUAAGAUAGCUAAGCUAUGGUGUCUUUGCGGAUCAACGCUGAUAAUUUGAUUGAUAAAACCAUCAUGCAUGUAUCAUACAUGAGAUCCUUUGUUUAGUUAGUUGGCAUUUUUAGAACUGUCAUUGAAAUAUUUUCAAAUCAUGAGAAUGGAUUAAUGUAUACAAGAAUUCUUAGCAGGAAUGAUAGAGUAUAUAAACAACAUCAGACACAAUAGGGUAUUUUGCUAAAUUUUCUGUCCUUAAAAGUGGUCUAAAAUACAAAAAGUGGGGCAAUCAUCAUGGAAACCAGUGUAGCCAUUAGGCACAUUCCAUUGGUGACUCCUCCCCUUUAAUAUUUUUGCAUAACUCUUUAAAACAGACAAAAUGUAUCAUAUGAUCUCAUAAUAAAAAAAGAGCCUUUCAAGAAUUGUAAUAGUCAAGGCUGAAGUCCAGGGUUAUCGUAUAUUCUGUCCAAUUUUCACAGCAAAUCAAGCUGAGUUAUGUGUAGUUGAACUUUCAUUACAGUAAUUAGCAUUUUUUUUGCAUUAUAAUUUAAAGCAAUGUGGCUGAUUUGAGCAAGUCAUGUAAUGAAUCAUUAUACCAUCCAGAGGCUUUUAAGAUAGUCAAAGUGAUUUUAAAGAGGUUGUUCUUGAAGGUCUAACUAGGAGGGUAAAAAUGUCUAAAUUAAAAGAACGCUAGCCUGCAAUCAUGCCACUAAAAAAUAGGUGCUCAGUAAGAAGUCCUAUUACAAUCAAAAGGGACAAGAAGUAUAUCUGUGUCUGGUGCACAGAAGCAGAGGAAAAUGAUGGAUACCUUGGGUAACUCGUUCCGUGCAAAAUCAAUCCUUCACUGUCAAUGUUAAAUGAACUAAUUUGUUCACAAAUCUGCUUAGUCAGUUUCAAACUAUACUCAAUUCAACCACAUUAGCAAAUCCUUUAAUCUUGACUAGUCCACUGAAUAAGAAAUUCGGAGAUGUGUUAAUAUGACUGGACAUAUCUUGCGGCAUAAGAAUUGAUUCUUUUAAUUACUUCCCAAUCAAAUUAUAGUACCCUUUUACUACUGAACUGCUGACCUGUUGAUAAAUGAAAUAGUUUCAGUUGUGAUUAAUGACCUUAGUUGACUAGAAUUUGUUCUCAUGAUUUCUUAAAAUUGUAGUAGGAAAAACUUUAUUUUUCGGUAUAAGGUAUUUUAGUACUGUGGCUUAAAUCCAUACAAAACAUAGUUAAAAUUUAGGAUUUUAUUAAAAAAUAAAUUAAAAUUUUUCCACUUUUUGCACCAGAGGAAAAUUUUCGCAUUCAUUCCAAAUGAUCUUUGAAAAUGCAUUAAUAAAUUAUCUGCGUUAUUUUAACAUACCUUCUGCAACUUUUUUUAUGACCGGUUACAUUAUGGAACCUCAAUGCACUAUUUUUGUAUUUUCCAGAGGUGUAAAACUGCAUCUUUCUUGCAGUUGCUGGUUUGUAUUGAAUAUUUCCUGCCAGAAGUGGCUGGCUUAUUGUCACCUGACAUCUCUUCCCUCAUACACACUAUUCGUCACCCUUCAGUUGUCACCUGAACUUUUCUUAAAUAUUCAAAACCCAUGCUGAGAUAUUGCCGGUUCAUCAGUUGACACGGACAGUUCUUUAAAGAAAUGGCAGUAUUCAGUCUCCUCGAGCUAUGAACAUAAAUCUUAGCAUAGUCUCAGAUUUUGGAUUAAUGAAUUAUAUGCUUUAUAAGUAAUUUUCAAAAAUAAGAAUUUGCCCUUGGAUUCACUUGGUUUAAAUUAUUUUGCUAAUCUUGCAGGUCAAAUCUUGAGGUCAAGUAGAAAAUCUAGGAUUUUCAAUUACAGUUGAAGGUUACAGACAGACAAGUACAUUGAUUUUGCUAAUAUGUGACAGGUGUGCACUUAACCCAUUAUGCUUUUUAGAUGCAUUGCAGAGUAUACAUGUGUUUCUUUAUGAUGUUGAAAUGGACUUUUCAAAUAUUGUGUAUAUGUUUAUAUGUUGUCUUAUUAAUUUCACUAUGAUCUAUAUCUGCCAUUUAAUUAGCUUCAUUAUUUAGAGAAGAAUUGUUAGUUAACAUUGCUUAUAUCCAUCCUUAAGUAACAGGAAGUGUUUGUGGUGUUUGCUUGCCUUAUGUGCUAUCACACAUUUUGAGGUAUUCUUUAUGUGUUAAAAAUAAUCCCUUUCAAGUUCUUUUCAUGUACUUUGAGACGUAUGAUUCCCUACUUUGCCAGUAGUCUUUUUACUUUUUCUGUUAGCUCUGCAGAAAAAUUGUGAUAUUUGAGGGCUAGUGUAAGUUAUACGGCCUGUUUCCACAGGUACUGGUAACAAGUAUUGCCAGACACCUGGUAUUGUAACUGCAUUGCCUUCUGAUUAACAUAUGGGUAUCUAUAUUGGACAUGAGAUUGUAAUUAUUCUAUUAGUUUUAUGUAAAUAAACCAUAGUAUGAAAAAUAAAAUCUAAAGUAACAUACAUAUAUGAUCAUUAGGUGUAAGCCCACCUACCACGUCAAUACAGCUAAUGGUCAUUGGAGUGUUACUAAAAACCUCCAGUUAUUUCAAUAUGCAUAGGGAUUUAGGAUAGUGCGCAAGUCACUCAUUUCUUUGUUUUUUAUUGUAUAUAUAGUCGAGGAUGUGUACUAUGGUAAUUGCUGCCACACAGGAGUAUUGGGAGUCUGAGCUUAUGAUUUAUUUUUGUGUAUUUGUUACAUACACAUAUACACAAAGUUGAAUCAGUGAUUUUUUGAAGUAUAUUCUCAUGGACUUAUUCUAUACUUUUAUCAUCAUGGGAGUUAACUCCCAUUUUAAUCAUGAUCCCAUGUGCUGCAUUUCUUUUAGGAUUGCAGGAAAGUAUCUCUUUCUAUGUGUAAAAAAUGGAAUUUAGUAGAAAAGUCAACAAUUUUCCUCUAUAAAUUAUAUAAGUAGCUUCAGUGAAUGAUACAGACAUUGAAUUGUGGACUUUGUCAUAUAAUCAUUUAAAAAGUAAACCUCAAAGUCCUUGGAAACCACAUGCAUAUUGCUGUAUGGGACCCAGGGCCAGCACGUCCAUAGGCCUUGUUGGGGCAAUGGCUCCAGGUGGCACUUUGACAGAAGCUGCAUUUUGCCGCUCCUGUCAAAUCAUAUUCCUAUGAUGCUUAUCACUCUCACAUGGGCGCUGCCAUACGGGGCAGGUGCCAGCAAAAUUAUUCCUUACCUCCCCUCCUCGCGUGUCUCCCCGGGAGAUGGGAAUUUCGCUUAAAUCGAGGGGGCGCUCUCAGCAGCUCUAUUGACUGUGUGGAGUGCCCCCACGUGAACACACGCCGGCGGGGAUAGAAACAAAGCACGCUGCCGGGCAGAAGCAGUAACUACACUGCUCAUCUACUUCCUGCUCGGCAUCGAGAGAGGAUGUGGACAGCCGGUAUGUGACUCCUGAUGAGCAAGGUACCACGAGGGCGCAGCAUCCAGGAACUGCCGCCUCCUGCCCUGUACCUGAAAGAGGUACUGUGCUGUGUGUAAUUGGCUGCUUGGAGUUCAUCCUACUCCCACCUGUGUAUGUAAAGGAGGGCUGCUUGUGUUGUGUUUGGUAUGUAUGAUCAAGGGGGCGCGCUCAGCAGUUCUACUGACUGUCAGGAGCAAUCCCCACGCGAACACACGCCGGCGGGGAUAGAAAUAAAGCACGCUGCCGGGCGGAAGCAGUAACUACACUGCUCAUCUACUUCCUGCCCGGCAUCGAGACAGGAUGUGGACAGCCAGUAUGUGACUCCUGACGAGCAGGGUGUCGCGAGGGCGCAGCAUCCAGGAACUGCCACCCCAUGCCAUGUGUCUGAAAGAGGUACUGUGCUGUGUGUAAUUGGCUGCUUGGAGUUCCUCCUACUCCCACCUGUAUAAGUAAGGGAGGGCUGCUUGUGUUGUGUUUGGUAUGUAUGAUCGAAGGGGCACUCUCAACAGCUCUACUGACUGUGUGGAGCGCCCCCACGUGAACACACGCCAGCGGGGAUAUAAACAAAGCACGUUGUUGGGCGGAAGCAGUAACUAAACUGCUCAUCUACUUCCUGCCCAGCAUCAAGACAGGAUGUGGACAGCCGGUAUGUGACUCCUGACGAGCAAGGUACCGCAAGGGUGCAGCAUCCAGGAACUGCCUCCUCCUGCCCUGUACCUGAAAGAGGUACUGUGCUGUGUGUAAUUGGCUGCUUGGAGUUCCUCCUACUCCCAUCUGUGUAUGUAAGGGAGGGCUACUUGUGUUGUGUUUGGUAUGUAUGUAUGUAUUAGGGUAUUAGGCAGGUUGUGGGUGCGUUAGGGCAGGGUGUGUGUCUGUGUUAGGAAGGGUGUGUCUGUGUGUGUUAGGUAGGGUGUGUGUGUUAGAGCAGGGUCUGAGUGUUUGUGUGUGUGGGUUAGGCAGAGUGUGUGUGUUAGGCAGUGUGUGUGUGUGUGCUAGGCAGUGUGUGUGUGUGUGUGUGUGUUAGGCAGUGUGCAUAUGUAUUAGGUAUGGUGUGUGUGUUUGGCAGUGUGUGAGUGUGUGUGUAUUAGGCAGUCUGUAUGUGUGAUGCAUCUAUCCUUAGUCUCCUUGAUCUUUUGGCUGCCUUUGACACUGUUAAUCAUCAACAGCUUCUUCUCAUUCUCCGUAAGCUCAGUCUACGUGAUACUGCUCUCUCCUGGUGCUCCUUCUACCUCUCCCAGCGCUUCUUCAGUGUUUCUUUCUCUGGCUCUGCCUCUUCUCCCCAACCCCUUUGUUGGUGUUCUACAAGGUUCUGUCCUUGGUCCCCUACUAUUCUCUAUCUAUACUGCCUCCCUUGGUAAACUCAUCAGCUCCUUUGUCUUUCAUUAUCAUUUAUAUGCAGAUGACACACAAAUCUACCUGUUCUCUCCUGAUCUCUCUCCACCCAUCUUAAAUUGUGGCUCUGAUUGCCCCACUGCGAUUUCCAGCUGGAUGACUGCUCACUUCCUUAAACUCAACCUGUCCAAAACAGAACUUCUGGUCUUUCCUCCCUCAAGUGUUGCUACUCCUGUGUCUGUCUCCCUCCAAGUCAAUGGCGCCACCAUCUCCUCUACUUCGCAGGCUCGCUGCCUAGGUGUUCUCUUUGACUCAGACCUCUCCUUCACCCCUCAUGUCCAGUUGAUCACCAAAUCCUGCCGCUUACAUCUUAAAAACAUAGCUCGCAUCCGCCCUUAUUUAACACCAGACACAGCUAAGGUGCUGGUCCAUGCCAUUGUUCUUUCUCGCCUUCUCAGUGGCCUUACGUGUUCCCAGAUUGCACCGCUGCAAUCUAUAAUGAAUGCGGUGGCAAGGCUCAUUUUUCUGUCCGCCCGCACCUCCCUCACCUCCCCCCUCUGUCAUUCCCUACAUUGGCUUCCAGUUAGAUAUAGGGAUCAAUUUAAGAUUCUGGUGCUUGCUUACAAGUCCCUACAUAAUGUUGUUUCAACCUACCUAUCCUCCCUAAUACACAAAUAUGUCACGUUGAGGCCCCUGCGCUCUGCCAAAGACCUAUGCCUAUCUUCUGUCUGUACUCCCACAUAUGAUGCUCGCCUCUAAGACUUAUCCAGGGCUGCACCUUUUCUGUAGAACUCCCUUCCCUUCUCUGUUAGACUUUCACCCAGUCUUCCCUCCUUCAAAAAAUCUUUGAAAACACACUUCUUCAGGAGAGCAUAUCAUUGAAACUGUUAGUGGGUUUUCACCACCCUCUCUCCCACGACUUCUCUCCUGCAACUGUCAAAAAUAACCCACUAAGUUCUCAGUGAUUACUUUUCUAGCAACCUAUUUCAUUAUCCCUACUUAUACCAUUUGUGUCACUGUACCCCCCUCCCUCUAGCAUGUAAGCUCAUUUAGCAGGGCCCUUAACCUCUCUGUUCCUGUGCGUCCAUUUGUCUGGUUAAAAUUACAUGUCUGUUAGUCCACCCAUUGUACAGUGCUAUGGAACAUAAUGGGCCUAACAUAAUGGAUAGGCGUGGUUUGGUGGGCAUGAUUUUGGUGAAGGGGGCAUCAUUUCAUCCUUUGACUCAGGCAGCAAAAUGUGUUGGGCCGGCCCUGAUGGGACCUAUACUUACAGGUUGCUCUCAUUCUGUAUCUGGAAAUAUACAAUGACCACAAUGAUGCGAAUCCUAACCCUAAAAUCUGAAUUAUGUUAUUUAUGCAGCCACCUUUUGUCCAAUCACUUCAAUGAGGAAGCUUUUAAUACUGACAACAAAUCAUAUGGUCUAUCACAUUCCAGCAUAAGUAUCCAAUUGUUAACUUUUUUCUGAAUUUGUGUGAAUGUUUUCAAAGCCUUGAAAAUCCCCCCAAAUAUCACACCAUUUUCCUUCGAAGGUAGAAAUCAUUAUUAAUGUAAACCCAGCUUAAUUUCUAUUGUCAUUCUUAAUCACACAAUUUCAAGAUUUUUAUUAUGCAAACAAGGUUAACAAAAUAAUCCAUCUUGGCCAGCCCCUGCCCCUUUAUAAAAAAAAAAAGAUAUAUGUGUCAUUAACCUGUUUAUUUUUUUCCAAAUCAAUACUGAUAUGUAGUUUUGGGUAUAAUGUGCAUGUGUUGUGCUGUUGAUUUUGCUCAAUAAUAUUAGUGUCAAAGGUACUUUUCCAGGCUUUAGUGGAAAAGUUUUUGUUGUAUUUUUUUCAAUUUUUUUUGUGUUUAAUUUGAUGUGUUUCCAAUGGUUUGUUGUUGUUUUUUGCUUACAUAGCUGUGGCAGGAAGUAAUCAAAUCAACGUGGUUGGUCAUACUCCUAGCGUGCAAUAUUAAAAUUAGCAUUGCUUUUUAUUUUUCCUUAUUUGCUUUUUUUUUCUAUUUCUUCUUCUCUGUGUUAAUUCAAUUAAUUCUCUGUUCACUUUUGCAUAUUUUUGUGAUCUGGUUUUCCCACUCACCUUUUCAUGAGUAAAAAAAUUAAAAAACACCAAGAAUUUCAUUGUUGUAAAAUAGUAAUGCUCAAGAUUUUCUAACCACUGUCAUACUGCCAUAGUCUUUCUACUUUAUCAAUGCCAUUGAGUAAAAGAGCCAAUUAAAAAAAAACAGAAUAAUCAUUGUACAGGUGAAAUUUAAAGUAUAUAUUGACGUAUUCUACCAAUGUUUGAACAAAGCUGUUCCUUUAUUAAACAGUAAAUUUCAGUAUUAAUGGCUGCCCAUUGUGAGAAUAGGAUCUACAUUUAAAUAUCAUUUAGUAUUCAUAGGCUUCUUCCUGAGUCAAUUUACUAUUACUUUUCUAAGAUUUUGUACAUGACACUUGGUGUAGUUAUACGUUAAAUGUCCUUUUAUUCAUUACAAUUACAAUUAUCUAUAUAGCGCCAACAUAUUCUGCAACUUUGAUGAACAUUUAAUUCCAACAAAAUAUGUAUAACAUAUGGGAACCGUAGGUCAACGGGUCCCAACAAACAAGCUUACAAUCUAAAAUCUUUUAUGUCUGAGUUAUUUCACACAUGUGCAAAUAUUAGUCAUUCAGGUCUGAACACUAUUUUCCAGCAUCCUACAAGUCCAUAUUGGUUGUUAUUGUUUAGAACUGGAUUUUUAGAGCAUUCUUGUAAAUAGACAGAAGCAAAUAUUACAGAGAUAAUAAGAAAAACAUAAGUAUGGAGAAUGCUUAGUUACUGCCAUGAUGUGCGUUGUCAGUACUCAUUGGCAAUGUGCAUUCAACCUGAAGAUUCCCUACUGAAGGGGAUAUACACUGAGUCAUAUACCAAGCUAGCAUUGUCAGUGAGAGUUAAACCAGCCACUGAUCCUAAUUCUAACACUGUUGUUGCAGCAUACCAAUUUUUAAUCGCUACAUGACUUGUCAACUUGAAUAUUCACUGCAUGGAUAAAUUAAAAAACGUCUAAAUAAGUAGACACCAGAGAACACUUGUUUCCAAUUAAUUUAACCUUAAUUUAAAAGAAAAAAAUGCUACGCUAAUGCAGACGGAUUUUGCUCCAUAGUUUAUUAAAUCCUCACGUUAUAAAUUAGUUGUAUAUUUCUUAAACUUCCUUUUAAAGGGGAUAUAGACUAUCCAGGCUUUAGUAAGUUAAUUUGUAAUGCCACGCAUGUACUCUUCAUAAAGUGAUAUUUUUAUCCUUGAAACUUCCGAUGUAAUUGAAGUUCUCAGCAGGCCACUUAGUUUAAGUAGUAUCCAUUCUUCCAUACAAAUCCCAUUCCAAUAGACUGAUGGCAUGACUUGACUAUAUUACAGCCAUGAUUGGUCCAGAACAUCUGUCAUUUGUUCUGUUUCUGAGAGCUGUCUUGUUCGUGAAGGCAACUCUUUACAUCAAGUCACGAAUCGGACUGUCAACAAUAAUUUCCAUUUCAGAUGUUUCAUGUUCAUAUUAGUAAAAUCAUAGAUUCCUUUAUCUACUGGAAAGAGAUACUAUCAUUGUUCAAGAGGGAAAUUUGUUUAAUUAACAGGCUGCUUAAAAAAAAAUACAUUCGGUAAACCAGAAUAUUCAAGAAUUUAACUGUUGGUAGUUGAUCCAAGGAGGACUCUGACUACCAUUUUGGUGUCUAGAAGGACAUUUUCUCAAAGGAAUAAGAUAACAUCAUCAAUGUAUUUACAUUUAUGAGCUGGAUUUAAGGUUCAUUAUUCAUAAGCAAAUAUUAAUCAGGAUCAGAAUUGGUGUGUGUAUGUGUAUAUUUAUCAUUUAGCUCUUAAGGUUUCAAGCAUUGCAUGGUAAUGAAUUUAUUUAUAUUUUUCAGCUCUCCAUUACAAAGGUCCACUGAGCAGCUUCAUGAGUACUUCUGAGUAAACAUCUGGAAGUGGACCAGAAUUUAUAAAAAAAA